UUUCCGUAGGUGAACCUGCGGAAGGAUCAUUAUUGUAUAACCGAGGUGCGAGGUCUGUCGCUGAACCGACACGCCGUACACCCCCGAGUGCCUUCACAAACAUCCAUCUCACCCCGAUGUGUUCUACCGCGUGAGUACUCCUUUGUCUUGUUCGCAUGGGAGCUCACCUUUUCACACAUACAUUGUAAGAACUGAAGAAUGAAUUUUUUGUCUUUGCGAUCACGCAAGCAAUACAAUUUUCAACAACGGAUCUCUUGGCCCACGCAUCGAUGCAGAACC
rnacentral:misc_RNA from 1 species